rnacentral:rRNA from 1 species
AAUCAACGCUGGCGGCGUGCCUAACACAUGCAAGUCGCGCGCGAAAGGGGGGCAACUCCCAAGUAGAGCGGCGAACGGGUGAGUAACACGUGGGUAAUCUACCUUCGAGUGGGGAACAACACCGGGAAACUGGUGCUAAUUCCGCAUAACAUCGUCGGGGCUUCGGUUCUGACGCUCAAAGCUGGGGAUCGCAAGACCUAGCGCUUGAAGAUGAGCCCGCGUCCGAUUAGCUAGNGGCGGGGGUAAUGGCCCACCAAGGCUUCGAUCGGUAGCCGGCCUGAGAGGGCGGACGGCCACACUGGAACUGAGACACGGUCCAGACUCCUACGGGAGGCAGCAGUGGGGAAUUUUUCGCAAUGGGGGCAACCCUGACGAAGCAACGCCGCGUGGGGA